GAUGAAGAACGUAGCGAAAUGCGAUAAGUAAUGUGAAUUGCAGAAUUCAGUGAAUCAUCGAAUCUUUGAACGCACAUUGCGCCCCCUGGUAUUCCGGGGGGCAUGCCUGUCCGAGCGUCAUUGCUGCCCUCAAGCACGGCUUGUGUGUUGGGCCCCGUCCUCCGAUCCCGGGGGACGGGCCCGAAAGGCAGCGGCGGCACCGCGUCCGGUCCUCGAGCGUAUGGGGCUUUGUCACCCGCUCUGUAGGCCCGGCCGGCGCUUGCCGAUCAACCCAAAUUUUUAUCCAGGUUGACCUCGGAUCAGGUAGGGAUACCCGCUGAACUUAAGCAUAUCAUAAGCGGAGGA
rnacentral:misc_RNA from 1 species